rnacentral:rRNA from 1 species
UACGGAGGGGGCAAGCGUUGUCCGGACUUACUGGGCGUAAAGGGUGCGUAGGCGGUUGCGUGCGUCAGCGCUGAAAUCCGUGGGCUCAACCCACGGGCGCGUGCUGAUACGACGCGACUUGAGGCUCGGAGAGGGUGGGAGAACUCCUGGUGUAGUGGUGAAAUGCGUAGAGAUCAGGAAGAAUACCCGUGGCGCAGGCGGCUCUCUGGGACGGUACUGACG